rnacentral:rRNA from 1 species
UCGGGAAUUUUGGGCAAUGGGCGAAAGCCUGACCCAGCAACGCCGCGUGAGGGAUGAAGUAUUUCGGUAUGUAAACCUCGAAGGAAUGGGAAGAAUAAAUGACGGUACCAUUUAUAAGCUCCGGCUAACUACGUGCCAGCAGCCGCGGUAAUACGUAGGCAGCAAGCGUUGUUCGGAGUUACUGGGCGUAAAGAGUGCGUAGGCGGUUUUCUAAGUUCGGUGUGAAAUCUCCCGGCUUAACUGGGAGGGUGCGCCGAAGACUGGGAAGCUGGAGUGUGGGAAAGGCAGGCGGAAUUCCUGGUGUAGCGGUGAAAUGCGUAGAUAUCAGGAGGAACACCGGCGGUGUAGACGGCUUGCUAGACCAUAACUGACGCUGAGGCACGAAAGCGUGGGUAGCAAACA